rnacentral:rRNA from 1 species
GAUGAACGCUAGCGGCAGGCCUAACACAUGCAAGUCGAGGGAGAAGCCCUUCGGGGCAGAAACCGGCGCACGGGUGCGUAACGCGUAUGCAACCUACCUUUCACAGGGGGAUAGCCCGGAGAAAUUUGGAUUAAUAUCCCAUAAUAUUGUUGGAUGGCAUCAUUUGGCAAUUAAAGUUACGAUGGUGGAAGAUGGGCAUGCGUCCUAUUAGCUAGUUGGCGAGGUAACGGCUCGCCAAGGCGACGAUAGGUAGGGGUCCUGAGAGGGAGAUCCCCCACACUGGUACUGAGACAGGGACCAGACUCCUACGGGAGGCAGCAGUGAGGAAUAUUGGUCAAUGGUCGGAAGACUGAACCAGCCAUGCCGCGUGCAGGAAGGCGGCCUUAUGGGUUGUAAACUGCUUUUAUAUGGGAAGAAUAAGGGGUACGUGUACUUUGAUGACGGUACCAUAUGAAUAAGCAUCGGCUAACUCCGUGCCAGCAGCCGCGGUAAUACGGAGGAUGCGAGCGUUAUUCGGAAUCAUUGGGUUUAAAGGGUCUGUAGGCGGGCUAUUAAGUCAGGGGUGAAAUAUUUCAGCUUAACUGGGAAAUUGCCUUUGAUACUGGUAGUCUUGAAUAUUUGUGAAGUUUUUGGAAUGUGUAGUGUAGCGGUGAAAUGCAUAGAUAUUACACAGAACACCGAUUGCGGAGGCAGGGGACUAACAAAUAAUUGACGCUGAGAGACGAGAGCGUGGGGAGCGAACAGG